rnacentral:rRNA from 1 species
AUACGGAGGGUCCGAGCGUUAUCCGGAUUUAUUGGGUUUAAAGGGUGCGCAGGCGGCCAUUUAAGUCAGCGGUUAAAUCGUGGGGCUCAACCCCAUUCUGCCGUUGAUACUGGGUGGCUUGAUUGCGGUCGAGGUUGGCGGAAUUCGUUGUUGAGCGGGGAAAUGCAUAGAUAUGACGAAGAACACCGAUUGCGUAGGCAGCUGACCAGACCGCAAAUGACGCUCAUGCACGAAAGUGCGGGGAUCGAACAGGAUUAGAUACCCUGGUAGUCCGCACAGUAAACGAUGAAUACUUGUUUUCGGCGAUAUAAUGUCGGAGGCAAAGCGAAAGCGAUAAGUAUUCCACCUGGGGAGUACGCCGGCAACGGUGAAACUCAAAUGAAUUGACGGGG